GACGAACGCUGGCGGCGUGCUUAACACAUGCAAGUCGAACGGAGUACCCUUGAUUGAGGCUUCGGCCAAUUUCUUGGACUACUUAGUGGCGGACGGGUGAGUAACACGUGAGUAACCUGCCCUUGAGUGGGGAAUAACACACCGAAAGGUGUGCUAAUACCGCAUAACAUAACGGAAUCGCAUGUUUCUGUUAUCAAAGAUUUAUUGCUCAAGGAUGGGCUCGCGGCCGAUUAGAUAGUUGGUGAGGUAACGGCUCACCAAGUCGACGAUCGGUAGCCGGACUGAGAGGUUGAACGGCCACAUUGGGACUGAGACACGGCCCAGACUCCUACGGGAGGCAGCAGUGGGGAAUAUUGCACAAUGGGGGAAACCCUGAUGCAGCGACGCCGCGUGAAGGAUGAAGGUCUUCGGAUUGUAAACCUUUGUUGAUAGGGACGAACAGAUGACGGUACCUAUCGAGGAAGCCACGGCUAACUACGUGCCAGCAGCCGCAGU
rnacentral:rRNA from 1 species